AUGUGCAUGUCUCUGUGCGUGUGUGCACGUGUGUGUGCAUCUGUGCACGUGUCUGUGUGUGUGCGCGUGCGUGUCUCUCAGACAAGGAGGGCCCACGGGGCAAUCAGAUUCAAGAGGGAAGCCCAGAGUAAAGAACAAGAUGACUGCAGCCAUGGAGAAGGCCAUCAAGGCAAGUUGGCCACGGCCUGCGGGCUUCCCUGUGCCCAGCAUCUCCACGGGAGACCCAGAGAUGGGCUGUGUCCGGCCAGGCCCUCCCGGGAGGAGCGACGACACCGUCCUCCUUCGGGGGGCGCCAGGGCUGGGACCAGAAGGAGCUGGAGACAAGGACCCUCUCUGGGAAACGCUCCCCCUUCUCCUUCCCGGGUGCGGGAGAACUGCGGCCGCACCCCAGGAGAAGCCCCUGGUGAGCCGCAUAUCGGUCCAGCCUCAGAGCCUGACCAGCUAGGUGGCCCUGGGCAAGUCACUUCACCUCUGCCUGCCUCCGACUUUUCCACUGUAAAAUGGGGCCGUAACAGCUCCGCCAUCCCACGGCUGUCGGGAAGAAGCCGAGAGCCGUGUAUCGAGGGCUCAGCACGGUGCCUGGCACGUCGGGGCAAACGGGAGCUUUGGUGGCAAGGAUGGCGCACGGCGACGUCGGGCAGGGGACGCUGGCAGCCCCACCUCCUGGGUGCUCCCUGCAUCCUGCUACGCACGCCGGGGGGCUUCCUCUCCUACCACGAGGACCGUGGCAGGUGCUGAGUUCUGGCAGGAAGCUGCCGACGCCCCUCCAGGGAAGGGCAGGAAGGAAGUGCAGGGAGGCCUCUAAAGAGUCGGCUGCGGCCUUUUGCCUUUCAAACACAGACUGCUGAGGCGUCUCGCUAAGGGCCCAGGGGGGCCUAAGGACAGUCUGGGGGAGCCCAAGGGAGGAGGCGCGGUGGGACAGAGCCCAGGCAAGGCCGCCGGAGACGAGCCGGCCUUUGGGGAGAAGAGAAGCGUCCGAGGAGCAGGCGCACAGCCGGCCUCCUCCUCCUCCUCCCUGGUCUCCCACAAGGCUCGCGGAAGCGCAGACGCCCCCACCUUCCCUCCCCGGGAGCGGGGCGAGGCCAGGCCUGAGAAGCGAGACGGAGGGUGCCAGGAGCCCCUCGACUCGCUCUGGGCCCCGAAGUGGGCCGGCAACGCCUGCAGCCCGGGGAGGGUCACCAAAGCUCCGGCGGCCCAAGGGCGGCCGCGCCAGCAGCAUAUUCCCAGGGGGCGAAGCGCGGGCCGGGCACGGGCGCUCCCUGGCGAGACCCCGCCCGGGGGGCGGCCGGGGAAGGCCGGCCAAGCCGCUGCCCCCUCUGUCCACGGGGACAGAAGCCAGGCUGGCCCGGCUG
rnacentral:lncRNA from 1 species